CUGCUCCAUCUAUUAUGUCUAGGAUUUAUAUAUACAUUCAGUAAGAGAGACAAGAUGAAGGAUGCUUGCUGAAACAAAAAAUAAUCUCAUGAUUUUACACUUUAUUUUUAAAAAUGUACUGUGGUUAGUACUGUUUCUGAGUCUAGUUGUUCAAAACUAACAGUUAAACCUGUCAUCCAUCCAAUAGGCAAUCACCCUACAGAUGCUUAUCACAUCAGACCAACCAGGAAUCACAAAUUCAUAUUCAGAGAGAAGAUAAGGUUUGUGGGAGGCCGCUGAGUUUCAAGGGCAGUACACUUCAUCUACCUGAAUUCGAAGUCAUUCGAACAGAAGGACUCAAGCCAGAGUCAACGUCAGCCUGCGGGUGGAGCCACUGCUGGCAGGCGCUGCUGUCUGAUGCACUGGAGGACCUCAGAGCGCAUUCUGUGUUUGAGGGGUUCCUCUUCUUGAGUCUUCUUGAGGUGAUUGUAAAUUCUGGCGCUACAAAAAUUGAUAACGCCUGCUGUCCUGUAUUCCUGGAGCCUUUUGAUUUCCCUUUGGAGUUCAAAUUCCAAUGCCUGGCUUUCAAUGAACUUGUCAGGCCCCACCGGCCCCACUGUCCUUGCAAAUCACCUCAUUUUUUGCAUAAAGAUCUUGGACUUCCUUGGGGUAUCAUCGUUCCAUUAACUGAAACUUCCUAAGGUUGAUUAAUUCGUGAUCUCAAUUUUUUUUCAUCUUUGUCCUCCUUCAUCCUGGAAUGAUAGAUGUCUACUACAGCCAUCUUCAGAGCAUGUAGAAUGUCCCAGUCAUCUUCGACAAAAUCAAUAUCUCUCAAGUACUUCGCAUAAUUGUCAAACUGCUGUAUGAAAUCUGCUUGAGCUGGCAUGUAUCCUGCCAUGUCCUGAGAAAACAAGGAGUUAAAAGUAGGUCGGGGAGGGUCGUCUGCAGAGUGAAAUGGAACGGCAGUGUCAGCAGUUUUUGCCUCCUCUGCUUGCUUCAGGUUCAGCAGGGUAGAUGGGAAGAGAGGGUUAUUGAAGAAAUGGUUCAUAUAGUGCUUCUCACACUCCUCCUUGGUCUUGGCGCACAUCUGAUUGGUUAUAUCCUACCAAUUUCCAAAGCCACAUUCCAUCACAGCUUGUAAAAGGGCCAUUUCUUCUUGAAAAUCCAGCUAGGGUCAAGAAGAGGAAAAUCUACAUUUCAUAAGUAUAAUCACUUUGAUGUUUCUUGUACUCAAAUCCUCAAGUGAAACACGGUAAGCAGAGGAAAUAAGGAAAUUGCACACUUGAUAUAAAGCUCCAUGAGGUAGGUGGAGCAACCUUGGCAAGGUGGCUUAUCAGAGGGAUCAUUGCUAAAGGAACCCAAACUGUCCAUUCCCCAGUUGGCAAAACCUGUUGCUUUGAUCUUCUUUAAUCUGAGCUGCUUCAAGGAGAUUUCAGAACCUCACUGCUUCCCUCUCCUCCGCCCAUCCUAGUUUUAAGUAGAUAAAGAGCUCUCUGUUUCUUCUCUGACAAUGUCAACAUUUUCUUUGUUUUCUUCUAGUGGUAUGACCAAAAGGCUAGUGUGGGAGAAUCCUAGAAUCUGAUUAGUUACUGUGGGCUACAUGUGCAACUCAAGUAAUUUUCCAUUUCUAAUUGGUAGCCCAGGAAUUCACAUUAGGAAAAACCCAACAGAUGUUAUAAUUCCUCCCAGGGAUCUAGUAUA
rnacentral:lncRNA from 1 species